AAAGCAGGGAUAGUGUGUAUCGGUGUUUUGCUAUUAAAAAUGCAUUCUUUCCGAAAGUAUUCCCUUGCAAUAUUAAUUUAGAGAAAAUGGGCAGUUGUGUUUCAUAGUUUUGGUUGAAAAAUCACAACAAUCAUUUUCCCUACAUAU
rfam:Medicago truncatula strain A17 chromosome 2, whole genome shotgun sequence.